CCGGGUGCCGGCGGCGGUAGGGGAGCGUUCCCAGGGGUAGCCCUGGGAAGUGAGAAUCCGGGCAUUAGUAGCGAUAAGGAGGGUGAGAAUCCCUCCCGCCGUAAGCCCAAGGUUUCCACCGGCAGGUUCGUCCGCGGUGGGUUAGCCGGUACCCUAAGGUGAGGCCGAAAGGCGUAGCCGAUGGGAAGUGGGGUCAAUAUUCCCCCGCCACCCGCGUGGAGCCCGAGGGGUGACGCGGGAGCGAAGGGCCCGGGGGCUGGUGGCUUAGCCCCUCCAAACCCGUAGGGCGAUGACGGGCCGAGGCAAAUCCCGGCCCCGAGCCUGAGGGGGAGUAAGGAACCCAGGGGAAACCCUGGGGGAAGGGCCCGGAGCACACCGACGAGAAAUAACCUCGCGGGCGAUGAAGCGCGGGUGACCGUACCGCAAACCGACACAGGUGGGCGGGCAUAAAUGUGCUAAGGCGCGCGGGAUAACCCCCCCUAAGGAACUCGGCAAGUUGCCCCCGUAACUUCGGGAGAAGGGGGGCCCUAGUAGGGUGAGGCUCCUUCGCGGGCCGAGCCCGAACGGGUCGCAGAGAAUAGGGCCUGGCGACUGUUUACCAAAAACACAAGUCCCUGCAUAACCCGUAAGGGGAUGUAUAGGGGCUGACGCCUGUCCGGUGCCGGAAGGUUAAGGCGGGGGGUGAUGAGCUCCCUGCCGAAGCCCCGGUAAACGACGGCCGUAACCCUAACGGUCCUAAGGUAGCAAAUUGCUGCCUGAACUCGGCUAUAUGCGGGAAAGCCCUUAGAGCCCAACCUACGCUUUCAGCCCUUUUGGGCUGACGUAAAAAUGGUUGGGAUUGGGCAACCCGCAGGAAACCUUCCGGUGUUAAUGCCGGAAGGGUUCCUCAGAGGCCGUACGCCGAGCAGCCUGGCCUCCGGGAAGCCGUAAAAGGAGGUUUGGAUAUGGACUUAUCUCCCGACUGGGUCGUGGGAUUCACGGAUGGUGAAGGAUGUUUCCACGUUUCGGUUGUAAGAAACCCCAAAACCACCCUCGGAUAUCAGGUAAUACCGGAGUUUGUGAUAGUACAGCAUAAAAGGGACAUACAAAUCCUGUAUGCGUUAAAGAGGUUCUUCAAAUGUGGUGUUGUUAGGAAAAAUCAUGGGGACAGAUGGGCUUUAAGGAUCAGGAAGAUCUCCUGUCUGAAAGAGAUAUGCGAUUUCUUCACCAAACAUCCGCUAAAAACCAAAAAGAAUGUGGAUUUCAUAAGGUUCAGGAGGAUAAUUCAUAAGAUGGAGGAGGGUAGGCAUCUGACGCCGGAAGGAUUGCUUGAGAUCAUAGAUAUAGCCCUCCAGAUGAAUACCGAAAAAAGGGCAUCAUUAAUGGAGAUAAAGAGGGAAAUAAUUGAGCGCUUCCCGGAAAUGGGCCGUGGGCCAGGCUGAAGAUAUGGCCCACCCCACGGUGAAAACCGUGGAUAAAGGUGAGCGAAGUUCCUUGUCACGUAAGUUGUGACCCGCAUGAAUGGCGUAACGACUGGGCCACUGUCUCAGGGGGGGACCCGGCGAAGUUUCAGUACCAGUGAAGAUGCUGGUUACCCGCGGCGGGACAGAAAGACCCCGUGGACCCUUACUGCAGCCUGGCGUUGGACUCUGGCAGGGCAUGUGCAGAAUAGGUGGGAGGCUGUGAAGCCGGGGCGCCAGCUCCGGUGGAGCCGCCAGUGAGAUACCACCCUUGUCCUGUUGGGGUUCUAACCUACACCCCUGAAUCGGGGUGGGGGACAGCGCUUGGCGGGCAGUCUCGCUGGGGCGGCGUCCUCCUAAAAGGUAACGGAGGAGCCCAAAGGUCCCCUCAGGGCGGACGGUACCGCCCGUUGAGUGCAAGGGCAUAAGGGGGCCUGACUGCGAGGCCGACGGGCCGAGCAGGGGCGAAAGCCGGGCCUAGUGAUCAGGUGGUCCCGUGUGGAAGGGCCAUCGCUCAGCGGAUAAAGGGUACCCCGGGGAUAACAGGCUCGUCGGGCCCGAGAGUCCACUUCGACGGCCCGGUUCGGCACCUCGAUGUCGGCUCAGCCCAUCCUGGGGGUGCACAAGCUCCCAAGGGUUGGUCUGUUCGCCCAUUAAAGGGCUACGUGAGCUGGGUUCAGACCGUCGUAAGACAGGUCGGUCCCUAUCCGCCGUGGGCGUAGGGCGCUUGAGGGGGUCUGCCCACAGUACGAGAGGACCUGGGUUGGGGGCACCUCUGGUGUACCGGCUGUCGCGCCAGCGGCAGAAGCCGGGUAGCCAUGUGCCUAACCGAUAACCGCUGAAAGCAUCUAAGCGGGAAGCGGGCCCCAAGAUAAGGCGCCCCACCCGAGGGUUUCCUCGGGGUAAGGGCCGGGGGAGACUACCCCGUAGAUGGGCCGCAGGUGUAAGCCCCGCAAGGGGUUGAGCCGAGCGGUUCCAAUAGCCCGAGGAUUUCGUCGCC
rnacentral:rRNA from 1 species